rnacentral:misc_RNA from 1 species
GAUGAAGAACGUAGCGAAAUGCGAUAAGUAAUGUGAAUUGCAGAAUUCAGUUAAUCAUCGAAUCUUUGAACGCACCUUGCGCCCCUUGGUUAUUCCAAAGGGCAUGCCUGUUUGAGUAUCAUGAACACCUCAACUCUUGUGGUUUCCCACAAUGAGCUUGGACUGUGGAGGUUUUGUUGGCCCUGUGGUCAGCUCCUCUCAAAUGGAUCAGCUUACCGGUGUUUGGUGGCAUUACGGGUGUGAUAACUAUCUACGCUCGUGGUCGUCUCCAAAUAACCUCCAGUGAUGGAGGUUCGCUGGAGCUUAUAAAUGUCUCUCCCCAGUGAAGACAGCCUUUGAACGUUCGAUCUCAAAUCAGGUAGGACUACCCGCUGAACUUAAGCAUAUCAAUAAGCGGAGGA